AUUGAACGCUGGCGGCAGGCCUAACACAUGCAAGUCGAGCGGCAGCGACUUAACUGAACCUUCGGGGAACGUUAAGGGCGGCGAGCGGCGGACGGGUGAGUAAUGCCUGGGAAUAUGCCCUGAUGUGGGGGAUAACUAUUGGAAACGAUAGCUAAUACCGCAUAAUCUCUUCGGAGCAAAGAGGGGGACCUUCGGGCCUCUCGCGUCAGGAUUAGCCCAGGUGGGAUUAGCUUGUUGGUGAGGUAAUGGCUCACCAAGGCGACGAUCCCUAGCUGGUCUGAGAGGAUGAUCAGCCACACUGGAACUGAGACACGGUCCAGACUCCUACGGGAGGCAGCAGUGGGGAAUAUUGCACAAUGGGGGAAACCCUGAUGCAGCCAUGCCGCGUGUGUGAAGAAGGCCUUCGGGUUGUAAAGCACUUUCAGUAGGGAGGAAGGUAGUGUAGUUAACACCUGCAUUAUUUGACGUUACCUACAGAAGAAGCACCGGCUAACUCCGUGCCAGCAGCCGCGGUAAUACGGAGGGUGCGAGCGUUAAUCGGAAUUACUGGGCGUAAAGCGCAUGCAGGCGGCCUGUUAAGUCAGAUGUGAAAGCCCGGGGCUUAACCUCGGAAUUGCAUUUGAAACUGGCAGGCUAGAGUCUUGUAGAGGGGGGUAGAAUUUCAGGUGUAGCGGUGAAAUGCGUAGAGAUCUGAAGGAAUACCAGUGGCGAAGGCGGCACCCUGGACGAAGACUGACGCUCAGGUGCGAAAGCGUGGGGAGCAAACAGG
rnacentral:rRNA from 1 species